UACGGAGGGGCUAGCGUUGUUCGGAAUUACUGGGCGUAAAGCGCACGUAGGCGGCUUUGCAAGUCAGAGGUGAAAGCCCGGGGCUCAACCCCGGAAUUGCCUUUGAGACUGCAUCGCUAGAAUUGUGGAGAGGUAAGUGGAAUUCCGAGUGUAGAGGUGAAAUUCGUAGAUAUUCGGAAGAACACCAGUGGCGAAGGCGACUCACUGGACACGUAUUGACGCUGAGGUGGCGAAAGCGUGGGGAGCAAACAGG
rnacentral:rRNA from 1 species